rnacentral:rRNA from 1 species
CGUGAGUGAGAGCUUCGGGUGUAAAGCUCUUUCAGUUGAGAGAAAAGAUUGUGACUAAUAAUUGCAAUUCAUGACGGUAUCAACAGAAGAAGCACCGGCUAACUACGUGCCAGCAGCCGCGGUAAUACGUAGGGUGCGAGCGUUAAUCGGAAUUACUGGGCGUAAAGGGUGCGCAGGCGGUUCUGUAAGUCAGAUGUGAAAUCCCCGGGCUUAACCUGGGAACUGCGUUUGAAACUACAGAGCUAGAGUGUGGCAGAGGGGGGUGGAAUUCCAUGUGUAGCAGUGAAAUGCGUAGAGAUAUGGAAGAACAUCGAUGGCGAAGGCAGCCCCCUGGGUCAACACUGACGCUCAUGCACGAAAGCGUGGGGAGCAAACAGGAUUAGAUACCCUGGUAGUCCACGCCCUAAACUAUGUCAACUAGUUGUCGGGCCUUAUUAGGUUUUGGUAACGUAGCUAACGCGUGAAGUUGACCGCCUGGGGAGUACGGUCGCAAGAUUAAAACUCAAAGGAAUUGACGGGG